rnacentral:tRNA from 1 species
GCAGCUGUAGCUCAGUUGGUUAGAGCGCCGGUCUGUGGAACCGGAGGCCGGUGGUUCGAGUCCACCCAGCUGUACCA